CCCUUAGACACUCUAGGCGGCACGCGCGCUACAAUGGGUGGAAGAACGUGUUACUGCCUCCGAAAGGAGGGGUGAAUCACGAAUUCUUGCCCGUGUAUGGGAUAGUUUGUUGCAAUUUUCGGACUUGAACUAGGAAUCCCUUGUAAACAUGCUCAAGAAUAGCGUGUUGAAUACGUCCCUGCCGUUUGUACACACCGCCCGUCGUUUCUUCCGACUGAUACUCAUUGUGAGUUGCAAGGACCCUUUAUUGGGAAAUUGCUGCAAAUGCUUUGUAUUGGAGGAAGAAAAAGUCGUAACA
rnacentral:rRNA from 1 species